GGAUCUCUUGGUUCUGGCAUCGAUGAAGAACGCAGCGAAAUGCGAUAAGUAAUGUGAAUUGCAGAAUUCAGUGAAUCAUCGAAUCUUUGAACGCACAUUGCGCCCUCUGGUAUUCCGGAGGGUAUGCCUGUUCGAGCGUCAUUUCAACCCUCAAGCAUUGCUUGGUGUUGGGGCACUGCUUUUGACGAAGCAGGCCCUGAAAUCUAGUGGCGAGCUCGCCAGGACCCCGAGCGCAGUAGUUAAACCCUCGCUCUGGAAGGCCCUGGCGGUGCCCUGCCGUUAAACCCCCAACUUCUGAAAAUUUGACCUCGGAUCAGGUAGGAAUACCCGCUGAACUUAAGCAUAUCAAUAAGCGGAGGA
rnacentral:rRNA from 1 species